CCUACGGGGGGCAGCAGUGGGGAAUAUUGGACAAUGGGGGGAACCCUGAUCCAGCCAUGCCGCGUGUGUGAAGAAGGCCCUCGGGUUGUAAAGCACUUUCAGUGAGGAAGAACGCCUGGUGGUUAAUACCCAUCAGGAAAGACAUCACUCACAGAAGAAGCACCGGCUAACUCCGUGCCAGCAGCCGCGGUAAUACGGAGGGUGCGAGCGUUAAUCGGAAUUACUGGGCGUAAAGCGCGCGUAGGUGGCUUGAUAAGCCGGUUGUGAAAGCCCCGGGCUCAACCUGGGAACGGCAUCCGGAACGGUCGAGCUAGAGUGAAGGAGAGGAAGGUAGAAUUCCCGGUGUAGCGGUGAAAUGCGUAGUGAUCGGGAGGAAAAACAGUGGCGAAGGCGGCCUUCUGGACUGACACUGCCAAUGAGGUGUGGAAGCGUGGGUAGAACACAGGAUUAGAUAACCGUGUAGUC
rnacentral:rRNA from 1 species